UUUCCGUAGGUGAACCUGCGGAAGGAUCAUUACCGAACUGUCAACAAGAGUUGUUGCUGGUCCUCAUGCGGGGGCAUGUGCACACUCUGUUUACACAUCCACUCACACCUGUGCACCCUCUGUAGUUCUGUGGCCUGGGGGCUUUGUCCUCCUGCUGCGGUUCUAUGUCUUUACACACACACAGUAAUGAAGUCUCAUGGAAUGUAUGUCGCGUUUAACGCAAUGAAAUACAACUUUCAGCAACGGAUCUCUUGGCUCUC
rnacentral:misc_RNA from 1 species